rnacentral:rRNA from 1 species
UACAGAGGGUGCAAGCGUUGUUCGGAAUUAUUGGGCGUAAAGCGCGUGUAGGCGGCCUUGCAAGUCGGGUGUGAAAGCCCUCAGCUCAACUGAGGAAGCGCGCCCGAAACUGCAGAGCUUGAGUACCGGAGAGGAUGGCGGAAUUCCCCAAGUAGAGGUGAAAUUCGUAGAUAUGGGGAGGAACACCGGUGGCGAAGGCGACCAUCUGGACGGAUACUGACGCUGAGACGCGAAAGCGUGGGGAGCAAACAGG